rnacentral:rRNA from 1 species
UACAGAGACUGCAAGCGUUAUUCGGAUUCACUGGGCGUAAAGGGUGCGCAGGCGGCCAAGUGUGUGAGGCGUGAAAGCCCGGGGGCUUAACCCCGGAAUUGCACCUCAAACUACAUGGCUAGAGCAUUGGAGAGGGUAGCGGAAUUCACGGUGUAGCAGUGAAAUGCGUAGAUAUCGUGAGGAACACCAGAGGCGAAGGCGGCUACCUGGACAAUUGCUGACGCUCAGGCACGAAAGCGUGGGGAGCAAAAAGGG